UACGUAGGGCGCAAGCGUUAUCCGGAAUUAUUGGGCGUAAAGAGCUCGUAGGCGGUUUGUCGCGUCUGCCGUGAAAGUCCGGGGCUCAACUCCGGAUCUGCGGUGGGUACGGGCAGACUAGAGUGAUGUAGGGGAGACUGGAAUUCCUGGUGUAGCGGUGGAAUGCGUAGAGAUCCGGAGGAACACCGGUGGCGAAGGCGGCUUUCUGGACCGACACUGACGCUGAGGCGCGAAAGCUAGGGGAGC
rnacentral:rRNA from 1 species